AGAUAUGUUUGGAGUUGUAGUAGGGGACUCAGAACGAGAUGGUUUUGGUUUCUUCCCUGAAAUAAAUCACCAAGUGACUGCAGAUAAAGGGAAGUCCCUUGUUUAUGAAGAUCAGAAGAACCAGCAACAGGCUCUGAAAAACUACCAGUUUUUAAAGUCAUAAGCAUGGUGGCUCUCUGGAUUCAUGACUGAGAAUGGGACACAAAUGACACCCACUGUUUUGGCCAGUAAUGUUGUCCUUGAUUUGAAAGAAGAGAAACCCCCACAGCAGGGCAAGACCUCAUCACCUGAACUUGGUGCUGGACUACGCAGGGAAGCUGCUGACACACUAUGCUUUCAAAAGACUGGAGAUGAACAGAAAAGCAUUCACUCAUGGAAAGACAUUUUGAAUGUGCUUUUCUUUAUCUUAAUCACAGUUUUGAACUGGGAGAAUCAGAGUAAACAUCACUUCUUGCAGCCUCUUAUUUUAAAGCUAUUGUUAUAACUGCAUCCAACUCAUACCUACAGCAGUACAAUGUAUGGACUUUCCUUCCUGCCAUGGCUGUGAAAAGGAAAGAACAAAUUCUAAUAUGCUACUGUUGAGAAAAGUAUUCACACAACUGCAAACCAAUUUAAUCUGAAAUGCAUUUUUGUGGAAGUGGUCACUGCUUUUUUGUACAUUAUUUGCAAUUGGUUAUUAUUUAAUUAACAAGCCUUUCAUUUAGUUUUAAAAGCUAAUACUAAUGUACACAGAUGUACACAUGACUGUGAGAUAAUCUCACCUUGGUACUUCUAUAAUGUUCUUAAUUUCACUGGAAGUGCCUGAAUCCCAAUUGAGAGCCAAACUAAACUUUUCUCUAGCUCUGUUGUUUUGCAAGACAUAAAAAUAACUGUACAUAUUUGGAAGUGUAAAAGAGCCCUUUUUUACUACAGCUCCCUUCGAAUCUAGUGUGUAAUGAGAAUUACACACAGGGAAAGCAUUAAGUUAAGAACUACAGGGUAGUGAUUCAAUUAACACAAUUUAAAUUGUCUAAUACCAAGAUCACAAAAUAAUUUAUUUCUAAUACAAACAUGCCCUAGCAAAAAGUAUAGUGCAAACUAUCCCAAAGUUUCAAAAAAGUCCCAAAUUAAAGUUUUGGCAAUGAUUUUCAAGAAAUCAAUACAGAGAUCUAUAGAACAAUUUGUGUAUUUUUAAAUUUCUCCUACUUCUACUGCUUCAUCUUUCUUUUAUAAAAUACAGGUAAAAUAGGACACCCUAGCUCCAGCAAAGCUUUGACUUGGCUCCAACUCAUCUCCCAUGUCUGCUGGACACAUAAAACAAUUGAGCUACUGCUAAAACCUUCCCAAAUCUUAAGACAACAAAUCCCUGUAGACCAACCUUUACCAAUUCAGAGGAGUGCAAAUUUCAUACAGAUGCUGAAAGCCCAUGGAAGGUCCCUGAAAGCAUUGAUUAUAUUCCACAAUCCCCUGAGAAAUGAACCCAGUCCUCCUCCAGGGUCUAAAGGCAGCAAUCUUCCUUCCUGCUCUCUAAUUCUUUUAGUGUGUUUGACAUGCUGACAAGGUGUUUCUUUUUUUCUCUGAAAAUUGUCUCAUGAACUGUCACCAACUGACAGAAGAUCAAAACACCAUCCUGGCCACAGAAAUGGAAAAUAAGGAAGGGGAUUUCUUCUGCUUUGGAGGUACUGUCUUCUCAUACUACAAGUCUUUAAGGAUGACAACUUGUCCCAAGAAUAAAGUGACUAUCUUUUAACUGGUGUGAAAUAAUUUUGGUGCAAGUGAGUGAUGGGUGGGAAGAAACACAUGAAAUAGAUAGUAGAAGGGAAAAGCUACAUGUGAAAAAAAAAAAAAAGGAGAAAGCAACCUCAGGGAAAGAACAAGUGUCUUUUUAACCAAAGGACAGCAUUCAGACUUGCAAUACAGAUGGCCAUUCCUAUAAAAAAAAU